AACGCUGGCGGCGUGCCUAACACAUGCAAGUCGAACGGAGUUCAUUGGAUUGAGGCUUCGGCCAAAUGAAUUUGAACUUAGUGGCGAACGGGUGAGUAACGCGUGAGCAACCUGCCUUUCAGAGGGGGACAACAGUUGGAAACGACUGCUAAUACCGCAUAACACAUUUAGGGGCAUCCCUGAAUGACCAAAGCUUUAUGUGCUGAAAGAUGGUCUCGCGUCUGAUUAGCUAGAUGGCGGGGUAACGGCCACCAUGGCGACGAUCAGUAGCCGGUCUGAGAGGAUGAACGGCCACAUUGGGACUGAGAUACGGCCCAGACUCCUACGGGAGGCAGCAGUGGGGAAUAUUGGGCAAUGGGGGAAACCCUGACCCAGCAACGCCGCGUGAGGGAAGAAGGCUUUCGGGUUGUAAACCUCUUUUAGCAGGGACGAAGAACGUGACGGUACCUGCAGAAAAGCAACGGCUAACUACGUG
rnacentral:rRNA from 1 species